UACGCCAGAUGACGCGUAGCACGCUUCC
rnacentral:sRNA from 1 species